rnacentral:rRNA from 1 species
UACGGGGGGGGCAAGCGUUGUUCGGAAUUACUGGGCGUAAAGGGCUCGUAGGCGGCCCUCUCAGUCGGAUGUGAAAUCCCCCAGGCUUAACCUGGGAACGGCAUCCGAUACUGGAGGGCUUGAAUUCGGGAGAGGGAUGCAGAAUUCCAGGUGUAGCGGUGAAAAUGCGUAGAUAUCUGGAGGAAUACCGGUGGCGAAGGCGGCAUCCUGGACCCGAGAUU